rnacentral:rRNA from 1 species
GACGAACGCUGGCGGCGUGCUUAACACAUGCAAGUCGAGCGAUGAAGCUCCUUCGGGAGUGGAUUAGCGGCGGACGGGUGAGUAACACGUGGGUAACCUGCCUCACAGAGGGGAAUAGCCUUUCGAAAGGAAGAUUAAUACCGCAUAAGAUUGUAGCUUCGCAUGAAGCAGCAAUUAAAGGAGUAAUCCGCUAUGAGAUGGACCCGCGUCGCAUUAGCUAGUUGGUGAGGUAACGGCUCACCAAGGCGACGAUGCGUAGCCGACCUGAGAGGGUGAUCGGCCACAUUGGGACUGAGACACGGCCCAGACUCCUACGGGAGGCAGCAGUGGGGAAUAUUGCACAAUGGGGGAAACCCUGAUGCAGCAACGCCGCGUGAGUGAUGACGGUCUUCGGAUUGUAAAGCUCUGUCUUCAGGGACGAUAAUGACGGUACCUGAGGAGGAAGCCACGGCUAACUACGUGCCAGCCGCCGCGGUAAGAC